UGGGGAAUUUUGCACAAUGGGGGCAACCCUGAUGCAGCGACGCCGCGUGAUUUAGAAGGCCUUCGGGUUGUAAAAAUCUUUUGUAUGGGAAGAAAAUGACAGUACCAUACGAAUAAGGACCGGCUAAUUACGUGCCAGCAGCCGCGGUAAUACGUAAGGUCCGAGCGUUGUCCGGAAUCAUUGGGCGUAAAGGGUACGUAGGCGGAUAAGCAAGUUAGAAGUGAAAUCCUAUAGCUCAACUAUAGUAAGCUUUUAAAACUGCUCAUCUUGAGGUAUGGAAGGGAAAGUGGAAUUCCUAGUGUAGCAGUGAAAUGCGCAGAUAUUAGGAGGAAUAACGGUGGCGAAGGCGACUUUCUGGCCAUAAACUGACGCUGAGGUACGAAAGCGUGGGUAGCAAACAGG
rnacentral:rRNA from 1 species